rnacentral:sRNA from 1 species
UGUCCUUCAGCACUACGUUCCUCCAUCUU